GGAAGGUCAAGCCGAUAGACGGCGACGGCACUGGAUUUGAAACCCAGCGAGCGUAAAAGCCUUAGGAGUUCGACCCUCCUACCUUCCGCCA
rnacentral:tRNA from 1 species